GAGUUUGAUCCUGGCUCAGGAUGAACGCUGGCGGCGUGCCUAAUACAUGCAAGUCGAGCGAACAGAUAAGGAGCUUGCUCCUUUGACGUUAGCGGCGGACGGGUGAGUAACACGUGGGUAACCUACCUAUAAGACUGGAAUAACUCCGGGAAACCGGGGCUAAUGCCGGAUAAUAUUUAGAACCGCAUGGUUCUAAAGUGAAAGAUGGUUUUGCUAUCACUUAUAGAUGGACCCGCGCCGUAUUAGCUAGUUGGUGGGGUAAUGGCUUACCAAGGCAACGAUACGUAGCCGACCUGAGAGGGUGAUCGGCCACACUGGAACUGAGACACGGUCCAGACUCCUACGGGAGGCAGCAGUAGGGAAUCUUCCGCAAUGGGCGAAAGCCUGACGGAGCAACGCCGCGUGAGUGAUGAAGGUCUUCGGAUCGUAAAACUCUGUUAUUAGGGAAGAACAAAUGUGUAAGUAACUGUGCACGUCUUGACGGUACCUAAUCAG
rnacentral:rRNA from 1 species